CUACAGAGGCCAGAUACUUAUCUUCCCAGCUUCUUUUGCUCCUGGAAGUGAUGAUGUGACCUACUUCUGGUCCAUGUAACAUAAGGGACAUUCUGCUGGUUUUAACUUCUCCAUCAAAUCUGAAUGAGGGCUUCCCUGGUGGCGCAGUGGUUGAGAGUCCACCUGCCGAUGCAGGGGACACGGGUUCGCGCCCCGGUCCGGGAAGAACCCACAUGCCACGGAGCAGCUAGGCCCGUGAGCCAUGGCCACUGAGCCUGCGCGUCCGGAGCCUGUGCUCCACAACGGGAGAGGCCACAACAGUGAGAGGCCCGCAUAACGCAAAAAAAAAAAAAAAUCUGAAGGAGAUCCUUGCUGGGUAAAGUAAUCUUGGUUGUAUGUUUUCCCCUUUCAUCACUUUAAAUAUGUCCUGCCAUAUUCUGGCUUGCAGAGUUUCUGCUGAACUAUCAGCUGUUAACCUGAUGGGGAUUCCCUCGAGUAUUAUUUGUUGCUUUUCCUUUGCUGCUUUUAAUAUGUUUUCUUUCUAUUUACUUUUUGAUAGUUUGAUUAAUAUGUGUCUUGGCAUGUGUUUCCUUGGAUUUAUCCUGUAUGGGACUCUCCUGUGCUUCCUGGACUUGAGUGACUAUUUCCUCUCUCAUGUUAGGGAAGUUUUUGACUGUAAUCUCUUCAAAUAUUUUCUCUGACCCUUUCUUUUUCUCGUCUUCUUUGGGACCCCUAUAAUUUGAAUGUUGGUGUGUUUAAUGUUGUCCCAAAAGUCUCUGAGAGUGUCCCAAAUUCUUUUCAUUCUUUUUUCUUUAUUCUGCUCUGCAGCAGUUAUUUCCGCUAUUUUAUUUUCCAGCUCACUUAUCCAUUCUUCUGCCUCAGUUAUUCUGCUAUUUAUUCCUUCCUGAGUAUUUUUUAUUUCAUUUAUUGUGUUAUUCAUCAUUGCUUAUUUGCUCUUCAGUUCUACUAGGUCCUUGUUAAACGUUUCUUGUACGUUCUCCAUUCUAUUUCCAGCAUUUUGGAUCAUCUUUACUAUUAUUAUUCUGAAUUCUUUUUCAGGUAGACUGCCUGUUUCCUCUUCAUUUGUUUGGUCUGGUGAGUUUUUACCUUGCUCCUUCAUCUGCUUCAUAUUUCUCUGUCUUCUCAUUUUGUUUAACAUACUGUGUUUGGGGUCUCCCCUUCACAGGCUGCAUGUUCAUAGUUCCUGUUAUUUUUGGUUUCUGCCCUCAGUGGGUGAGGUUGGUUCAGUGGCUUGUGUAGGCUUCCUGGUGUAGGGGACUGGUGUUUGUGUUCUGGUGGGUGGGGCUGGAUCUUUUCUUUCUGCUGGGCAGGGCUGUGUCCCAUGGUGUUUUCUGGAGUGUCUGUGAACUUAGUAUGACUUUAGGCAGCCUCUCUGCUAGUGGGUGUGGUUGCGUUCCUGUCUUGGUAGCUGUUUGUCAUGGGGCGUCCAGCCCUGGAGCUUGCUUGCCGUUGGGUGGGGUUGGAUCUCAGUGUUGAGACGGAGAUCUCUGGGAGAGCUCUCUCCAAUUGAUAUUAUGUCGGGUCAGGAGGUUUCUGAUGGUCCAGUGUCCUGGACUCGACUCUCCCUGUUCAGAGGCCCAGGCCCAACACCUGGCUUAAGCACCAGGACCCAGCCAGCCACGUGACUCAGAAGAAAAGGAAGGAAAAAGAAAAAAACAAACAAACAGAUGGAACCCCAAAGCAAAUGGUAAUGGCAAUACUAAACUGACAAAAAUCACACAAAGAAACAUACACACACACACUAAUAAAAAGAAAACAAACAGCAACAACAACAACAAGAAAUGAACAGACAGAACCCUAGGACAAAUGGUAAAAGCCAACCUGAAGAGACAAGAUCACACAGAGAAACAUACACAUACACACAUAAAGAGAAAAAAGGAAAAAAAAUAAUAAUUAAAAAAAAUUUAAAAUAAUAAUAAAAUAAAAAAAUAAACUAAAAAUAAAAAUUUUAAAAAUUUAAAUAAAUAAAGGAAGAGAGCAACCAAACCAAUAAACAAAUCCACCAGUGAUAACAAGCGCUAAAAACUAAACUAACAUAGAUGUAAAACCAGAAAGCAAUCAGAUGCAGAAAGCAAACCCUGAGUCUACAGUUGCUCCCAACAUCCACUGCCUCACUUUGGGAACAUUUGUUGUGUAAUCAGGUAUUCUUCAAGUGCAGCAUUUUUCAAGUUGAUUGUGGGGAUUUCAUCGACGGCUCCUGAGGCUGCAUGGGGAAGUUUCCCUUUCUCUUCUUUGUUCUCACAGCUCCUGGGGUUCAUCUUUGGUUUUCGCCCCUCCUUUGCAUGUAGGCCACUCUCAGGAAUCUGUUCCCCUCGCAGAUCGGAGGAGGUUAAAGCAGCAGCUGAAUACGGCUCUCUUGCUGACUCAGGCCUGGGAGAGGGAGGGGUACGGUAGUCAUAAUUGGAAUGCGGGGCGAGCCUGAGGUGGCAGAGGCCAGCAUGACAUUGCAACAGCCUGAGGCACGCCGUGUGUUCCCCCGGGGAAGUUGUCCUGGAUCGUGGGACCCUGGCAGUGGCAUGCUUCACAGCCUUCUGGGGCAGUGUGGGUAGUGACCUGCACUUACUUACAGGAUUCUUGGUGGCAGUAGUGGUGGCGUUAGCGUUUCAUGCCCGUCUCUGGGGUCCGCGCUGAUAGCCGCGGCUUGCGCCCAUCUCUGGAGUUCGUUUAGGCAGUGCUCUGAAACCCCUCUCCUCACGCACCCUGAAACAAUGGUCUCUUGCCUCUUAGGCAGUUCCAGGCUUUUUCCUGGACUCCCUCCCAGCUAGCUGUGGUGCACUAGCCCCCUUCAGGCUGUGUUCACGCAGCCAACCCCAGUCCUCUCCCUGGGGUCUGACCUCUGAAGGCAGAGCCUCAGCUCCCAGCCCCCACCUGCCCCAGCGGGUGAGCAGACAAGCUUCUCGGGCUGGUGAGUGCUGGUCGGCACCGAUCCUCUGUGCGGGAUUCUCUCCGCUUUGCCCUCUGCACCUCUGUUGCUGCGCUGUCCUCCGUGGCUCCCAAGCUCCCCACCUCCAUCACCCCCCAUCCCCGCCAGUUAAGGGGCUUCCUAGUGUGUGGAAACUUUUCCUCCUUCACAGCUCUCUCCCAGAGGGGAAGGUCCUGUCCCUAUUCUUUUGUCUCUGUUCUUUCUUUUUUCUUUUGCCCUACUCAGGUACUUGGGGAUUUUCUUGCUUUUGCGAAGUCUGAGGUCUUCUGCCAGCGUUCAGUAGCUGUUCUGUAGGAGUUGUUCCACAUGUAGAUGUAGUUUCGAUGUAUUUGUGGGGAGGAAGGUGGUCUCCACGUCUUACUCCUCUGCCAUCUUGAAAGUCCUCCCUGGCAUCCUAUCCCUUGUUCAUUUCAUUGUAGUAUCAGGGAAGGAGGGUAAAAAUAAAAUCUAUGCUGAGCUAUUCUCUGUUGAAACACACUUGGCCAUACAUAAGUUUCGACUUACAAUAAGAUUUGGAUUUUUGGCAUAUACAAAUGUCUAAGAAAUCAUUUUCUUCUGUAAGUUUAGUUUAGAUCCUCAGAAUAAUGCAGAUUUUGAAUGUAGGGUAAGAGACAAGGUAACUGUGACCAUAUAGUGUUUAUUAAGGCUUAGCCUAACUCAGGGAGCAAAUUUGUGUCCACAUAUUACCAAGGAAGUGUGGAUUGACUUUGGAAUCCAGGUACUGAUGUUCGACUUAGUCUGUAUUCUUUCUUUAUUUUUAUAAAAUAACUAUGGGAAGUUCAUCUGGGCCUUAUUUUCAGGAUCACAUAUGAGGAUUGAGUAAAUAGCUUUUGUAAGAACUGUGAGAGCAUCUCAAAGACUUUCCUCAAACCUUCCUCAGAAGCGGGACCUUGUCAAAAAUUGAGAUGACACUGAAACACAGAUGUUGGCAUUCUGAAAAGCUGAAGAAAAAAUAUAGACAGGGCUUAUUUUAUUAAAAAUAUAGCAGAAAAAAGAAACUGAAGUAUUCUAAGGAACAUUUUCUCCUUGAUUCCAUUCCACUAAUACUAAACAAUUAUCUAAAUAUUUUAAAAAUAUAAUGUGUUAUUGGCAUGGUAAGAAUUAAUACCUAACACCUACUAAUAAGCAUGAGAAUAUAUUCCCUAUUGUAUUUAUUAAUUCAAUAUCAAUUUUUAAGUGAUGAAAAUGAAAUACUAUCUACAAGAAACUCUAAAGCCAGGCCAUGUGAUUUUUGUUACCUGUUCCUGCUUUUCUUUUUAUUUUUAAUCUUGGCAAGUCAAAUCAUCAUUAGAAUGCCCAUAAAUUGUUGUAAUUUUUUCAAGGUAAAUGGUUGGGGCAAAUUCAGUUACUGUUUACUUUCAUCAUGCCAUAAACCAAUAAAUUCUAAAUCUGCCCUGAACACAGUGAUCAAACACUUAAAAAAGUGGCACGUCCAAACACAGAUAUGCACCAGGUGUAAAUCAGACUUGUAAGACUUUGUUUGAAAAAGGAAUGCAAAGUAUUUCAAUAAUUUUUCUAUUAUUUACAUAUGAAAAUGAUAAUCCUUUGGAUAUAUUGAGUUGUAUAAACUAUACUAUUAAAGUUAAUUUCAACUAUC